GGGCAGCUUCUGUGUUUUCAUGGAGACAUGCCAUCUAGGAGGACAUAGUCUAGAUUUUUGCAAGGUGCACUUUUAUGCAGGACAAGCUUAGGUGAAUUGGGAAUUAGAGAAAAGAUGAGUUGAAAAACUUGCAUUAAGGUGGACAACAUGCAAUUCUUAAUUAUAGGUCUGCAGAGGAAAAGAACGCAAGGAACAUCCCAUGAUGUUCACAUGUGGAUUAUCACUAAUCAUCUUUAAAGCAGAUCAGUAUGUUGACAGUAAUAAAUGCCCUGGAGUUUACUGGAGACAGUAUUGCCAAAACAGCAAGAGUCAGUGUUUAAAUCUCUGUAAAUGUGAAUAAUUCAAGCUUUCUAAUAAGAAUCCAUUUGUAAAGGAGCUGCAGACCAGGUAGACAAUAACAAAAAGGUAAAAGACAAAAGACCAGAAAAUCAACUGUCCCACCCACCAAGCAAGAAUUUCUGAAUGUCAGCAGCAGGCACAAGAACCCUUCAGCAAGAUUUCUUUAAAAAGGUGCCUCCACGAGCCUUGCGCAGUGCACAGAGCCGGAGGCAAUACAGAGCAGGGCGGUA